CUGGCAAAAUAAAAAGCACAUUUGGUCCAUCACAUUCCUAACUAUAAUGGAUGCUGAGAAAUGGAUGCACUGUAACAACCCGCAAGUUUCCUGGUACUGCUGCUGUCAUUGCAAAACCAUUGCAAAGUAUCCAUCUCUUGCCUCUGCCAGAAAAAGCCAGCCGUUAACAGAAACUAAACCCAAGGAGUCAACACAGCUAUGGCCAGAUUUUCCUCCUUGCCAUUCUUCAAACAGCCUUGGAUUCUCGGUAACUCAAGAACCAAAGAGUCCAAAGCCAUGGUUUGACCACAUGGAUCAUCAGCACCGCUCCACGACUGAUGCUGCUUUCCCUUCUUCUCUAGCCAGCUGUACUUCGUGAGCUUCCUUUGGUCAUUCAGGACACCAGAAACAAAUAAACUAAGAAGCAUUAGUUCAUCUCCAUGAGCUGCUCCAAGAGCUUUAAAAGUAGGUCAGUUGCAAAGUCCAGGAGCAGAAGUAUGUGUACAUAUAUGAGACUUAUUAAAUGGUGGCAUUCUGGGAAGAGCAUCACCACUGAUAAAGAAUCAUUGAAACUUUCUAUUUCUGUGAACAGUGGUAAAUAUAAAUCUUAAAAUCAUAGAAUCUGAGAGUGGUAGAGGACUUCAGUGAUCAUCAAGUCCAACCUCCCACCCAAGGUAGGAUUAUUCUAUGUGGCCCUGACAGGGAGUCUAAUGUCCUAUAUCCCUCCCAUAUCACAUAAAAACAUCAGAGGAGUCAGUUUAAAUGCACACUGUUCUGUUGGCUAGGGAAGGCCAUCGACUGUGACAUCUAUUGCCCAAAGUUGCAGUCUGAAGGGCCAAAUAGCAGAUAGAAAAAGUUAUGUCUUAAAGAGGGGUAAAGGUCACAACCUAGAAGGAGAACACCAAAUAAGCUUGUCAAUCUCAGCACCAAGUUGGAAGAAGGUUAUCAAGUAUACAGAGCCAGAAAAAGAAGAUACCCAAGAUGCUGAUGGGUGACAAAUAUGGACUAAGUGGAUUGGAGAAUUCAGAGUUCAAGAGCUCCUUAAAGGAUACACAAAACUGUCAUCAGUAGUUAAGAUUUCGGUGGUCUGGGGGUGAAUUCC